ensembl:rRNA 5S_rRNA 5S ribosomal RNA
GCUUACGGCCAUACCACCCUGAGAACGCCCGAUCUCGUCUGAUCUCAGAAGCUAAGCAGGGUCGGGCCUGGUUAGUACUUGGAUGGGAGACCGCCUGGGAAUACCAGGUGCUGUAAGCU